AAUGUCAACGUGUGGACCUGGAUGUUUCCCGAACUUUCCCAAUAAGCUGUGAAAAAGCAGUGAUUAUGGGGUCGUAAACGCACCCGGUUCGGGUUGAUGUGGUGAUUUGAGGCCCGAUGAAGAAAACUAGAGUGGUCAGCAGUUGGCGAGGGAAGACAAUGCAGCAGCACUUUAACCAGUGCAUGGCUUCUGCGGAAAAUAUAAAACAAGUCUGAAAUCUGGGAAUGCUGCAACCCUCUCGGCACCCCCAGCUCCUCUAACGAUUCACAGAGAACUCAGCUUGGUUUGGUCGUUCUUGAUUUCAUUACACUAAAUAAAUAAAUAAACAAAUAAACAAC